rnacentral:rRNA from 1 species
GACGAACGCUGGCGGCGUGCUUAACACAUGCAAGUCGAACGGAAAGGCCCCUUCGGGGGGUACUCGAGUGGCGAACGGGUGAGUAACACGUGGGCAACCUGCCCUCAGCUUCGGGAUAACACUUGGAAACAGGUGCUAAUACCGGAUAAUAACUUGUCAUCGCAUGGUGGUGGGUUCAAAGUUUUCGGCUGAGGAUGGGCCCGCGGCCUAUCAGCUUGUUGGUGGGGUAAUGGCCUACCAAGGCGACGACGGGUAGCCGGCCUGAGAGGGCACCGGCCACACUGGGACUGAGACACGGCCCAGACUCCUACGGGAGGCAGCAGUGGGGAAU